rnacentral:ncRNA from 1 species
ACAAACGCGAUGACGCAAAAUAGUACGUCUGAGUCUAUCGUUUCCAGAGAGCUGCCGGCUGGUGUGAGGCAGUAUCGAUUCCGGACCGAACUCAUUGCUGAGCGGAAAGGCUGAAUGAAGUAGGCCGAUACGGGAACUCCCGUUACAGAGCGUGGAUAUCGCCAUGGCCGUAUCCGAGAGUGCAUCCAUAAAGGAUGAAACAGAGUGGUACCGCGGAAGGAUUACAACGCCUUUCGUCUCUCUU